CUGCACAGGGGGCAACUUUCUCCGACCCAGCGAUGGCAGCCGCCCCCUCCAGCCGCCUCGGGCUCCUGGCACCCUCCGGCCUGGGAUCGUGCGGGCCGGCCCUCCCCUCCCCCCUAGUCUCUCCCGGUCGGCGUCUUCACCACAUUCCCCCCCUGGUCAGUGGCGCACGCCCCGGGACGAGCCAGAGGGAGCGGGGCUCGAGGGUGUGCGUGCAUCGCCCGCCUUCUUCUUGCAGCGCACACUGUACAUGGUAGUGAGGGGGCGAGAGAAGGUGGUACUGGCCCCUCGGCUGCUCCGCCGGCCGUUCCUCCGCUGUGCUCCUCUCCCCCACGCGCCUCGACCACUGCAGCCGGGAUGCCGCUGUCCCCAAGGCUAACCUGCAGUCGCGGCCCCUAAUUAGUAUUGGAAAGGCUCCCGCAUCCUCUUGGCGGCUUCACCGUUCCUAGUGUUUGCAGCGGAUUUUCGCUAUCCUUCCCCAGAUGCGGCGCACGAUCCUCAUUAUUUGCAACUCUUUAUCUCCGACAUCCUUUGAGGGGUCCGAGGAGGCAGGAGCAGCGAUAUUCUACGCCUGUGGCAUGUCCUGACAGGCUGGCCGCUCUAAAAAACAAAAAAAUAAUAAAACAGAAAAACUCAGAAAAAGUCGUGUUUUCUCUCCCGGGAGCUGAGGAGGCGGCCACAUCUGCCGGGUAGCGGGUGCAGGGCCCGGUCCGCUGCACUUGUUUAUUGUCGCGCCGCUGGUGCGAGCCAAGCUGCAGCAGACAUGAUGGGCCCGGGGCGAAGCGGGCGCUCAGUGGCCGGUAGAUGGCAGCCGAGGGCGAAGGAGUCCCUGGGUUCUGGAGGCGCAGCAAGAGCCCCCUUCGAUGUCACAGUCGUGGAGACAGAGGAGUCUUGGACCAUGUGCGCAAUUCGAGCGUAGGCGUGUGCAAUCGUCUUCUUGGAAAAGGAGGACUGGAGAUACCCCUGACAGUGCUAGGCUUGGUGAUGACCAGGGAUCAGAUGAUUCCUACCGGUUGCCGUUUGCCCAGAUGCCUCUGCCCUUUAGAAGGGUCCAUACUGCCUCUUCUAGUGUCUCCAGUAAAGGACCCUGGAGGGAGUGGCCUGUCCUAGCUAUAGAGAGUGCGUUAUUUUUAUCUUUUUAAUUUUUUUUUUAUUUAAAGAAUCACGUUUUAUAAGUAUGUCGGAGUGGUUCUCCAGAGAGAAAGUGAACACACUAAGCGAACUAGAAAGCUGGAAACAACUGAAAUAGAGGCAGUGUCUGUUGAAAGCGAGUUUGUCGAAGCGUCACCUGAUGAACUCCUCCUGAUCACCUCUAUGGAUCCCUCCAGCUAAUCAGAACUGACUUCAUGGACAGCUUAUAUGGUUAAUUACAGUAGUGCUUUACCUGAAUGCCUCAAGAUAUUGAUGUAGUCAACAACCGCAUCAAGCCUCAGAACACUAGAAAUAUUGGAUAAACCUGGGAGACAGCUUGUCAAUAUCUAAGAUGAAAUGAAAGAGGAAAAACAUUUUGAAGCAGUCGUCUGAGGUUUUUGUGAGCAUUAUGGCAUACACAGACCAUGGUGUGUUUGCAUCUCCUCAACUGUAAACAAAAGUUGGGGUCUUAUAUAAGACUGGGUGGCCUCAAGCUCAUCAUAUUUUCCUGAGGAUGACCCUGAACUUCUGAUCUGAUGCUUCUUCCUGAUUAUUAUGAUUACCUUGCUGUACCACACACACAGCAGUGACCCAACGAGUUUCUAUGUGGCCCAGGGUUUGAAGCUAUCCAUGGAAGACUGGUCCCAGUGUCCUCUGAAAUGAAGAUACUCUAUGAAUCUAGCAGUUAAGUAUGGGAGAAUCAUGGGGUCAUAUUAUCUACACUAA